rnacentral:lncRNA from 1 species
GAAGGAUAAAAUAAGAAGUUGGUCACACACUGAGUUCUUAUGGCCGCCUAUAUUUGCACAUACUCACCAUUUGAGCCUCAACGUUAAAUACAUGGAAACAGGGCCUACAAUGAGAGAGAGAAAUGAAUGAAAUAGAUCCUGUUCCAAAAGCUCAAAGGCUUCAACUGGCCUGUGAACUGUGGCCUCAAGGGAUAUUAACUCACCAUCUGAAAGCAGAUGCAAGGCUUAAGCAUUUCCCUAAUGGAAAGACGAGGGCUCAGUUAAUAUCAUACCCCAUUAAGUUUUUCAAUAAACUCAUCUUUUAAAAAAAGAAUAACAUGGUGUUUAUACAGACUGUCAGAAAUUAGAUCCACUGUGUACAUUUCUUCUUUUUAAAGUUGUUUUGUUACUACUGCUUGUAGUCGGGUAUCUGAUACAGGGUUUGGAGUCUUCACUAACAUUAAAGUAAAACAAAACAAAACAAACAAAUCUGCAAAACCCCAAUCAUUCUGCCUGCAUUAAUCAGGAGUGAUCCUGUAUAUAUUUACCAAAAGAAAGAAAGAAAGAAAGAAAGAAAGAAAGAAAGAAAGAAAGAAAAGAAAAGAAAAGAAAAGAAAAGAAAGAAAGAAGCUGCACUGAAAGCCAAGGGACAAACUUUCAAAUAGGCAUGUCCUAUUUCGGUAUGGCGUUGAAAAUGCAAUUAAGUUGGAUCCUGACUUCAAAUGUAUGCAGCUGGUCUGGGAGAAACAGACCUCCUUCUCCUCAUAGCAGACUUGGAUCCCCACAAGAUAAACCCUGCUGAGUAGGAAAGCCUGCGGUAAAGGAGAAAUGAAAGAUCCUCCACCAUUAGGUGAAAGCACCUUCCAUGAGUGGAACACUUUGCAAGUCAAGCCAUUAGAGUUCAAAUCAAGGAAACAGGACUGGACUUGAUUUCUAGAUACCAUGAGGAACUUGUUUCACAUUUUUACAUCUGUUUUUCUGCAUGAAACCUUGCAGGGCAGGCUGAGAACAGAUUUCUGGAAAGAGUACAAUGUUACAUUAAAAUGAAUUAAAAUAUCUUAUACAGUGGUGCCUUGCUUAACGAUUUUAAUUGGUGCCAAAAAAAGACAUCGCUAUGGGAAAACAUCGCUAAGCAAAACGCGUUUUCCCAUAGAGAUGCAUUGAAUACCAGAUAAUCCAUUCCAAUGGGAACGGAUUGCCGUCCUUAAGCGAAAAUCACCAUAGGAAACAUCGCUAAACAAAACGCGGUUCCCCAAUUGAAAUGCAUUGAAACCUAUUCAAUGCAUUUUAAUGGUGGGCGAAUUACAACAAAUUCAAAAAGAGUCAGAACAAAGUCAAAUUAGUUUAACAAAGGGUUUAUUAAGUGCACUUAUGAUUUCAAGCAUUCUAAACCUUUUUUAAACCUUUUUAAACAUUUAAAAGACAGCCAACACGAGGCUGUCAAAACCAUUGUUAAGCGAAACAGGGGGACCCAAACUGUCAUCGCUAUGCGAAGCAAGGUCCCAAAUAUCACUAUGUGAAAAUCGUCCAUAGGAAACAUAGUUAAAUGGAGCACAAGAUUGCUCCGGAAAACUAAUCAUUAAGUGAUUACAUCGUUAAACGAAGCAAUCGCUAAGCAAGGCACCACUGUAGUUAGAGUCAUAUGUGGAAUCCCAGGAUAACUAAGCCCACAUCAAAAUAUUUUCCUUUUGCCAACAUUUACGUGGAAGUUCAGACUUUCUUCUCAGUCAUCAGUGGAGCUGCAAUGUAUAUUCACAAAUAUUUUCCACCAAUUCUUUGAGUGUGAAAUUAUACCUUAAAGUAUUAAACAUUUGGAUGGAUAUAUAUUCUUUUAAUUGGAAGGCACUAUCUGUGAAUAUUGAUCACAUGAUCUACCAAAUCUCAGGGACCGUAAAGCAAAUAUAGAUUUAUUAUAGGAUGCCACAUAUAGAUAAAAAUACUCAUAAUAAACAGAUAGUGGCUGAAACCCA